AUGAACGCUGGCGGCGUGCCUAAUACCUGCAAGUCGAGCGAACAGACGAGGAGCUUGCUCCUCUGACGUUAGCGGCGGACGGGUGAGUAACACGUGGAUAACCUACCUAUAAGACUGGGAUAACUUCGGGAAACCGGAGCUAAUACCGGAUAAUAUAUUGAACCGCAUGGUUCAAUAGUGAAAGACGGUUUUGCUGUCACUUAUAGAUGGAUCCGCGCCGCAUUAGCUAGUUGGUAAGGUAACGGCUUACCAAGGCAACGAUGCGUAGCCGACCUGAGAGGGUGAUCGGCCACACUGGAACUGAGACACGGUCCAGACUCCUACGGGAGGCAGCAGUAGGGAAUCUUCCGCAAUGGGCGAAAGCCUGACGGAGCAACGCCGCGUGAGUGAUGAAGGUCUUCGGAUCGUAAAACUCUGUUAUUAGGGAAGAACAAAUGUGUAAGUAACUAUGCACGUCUUAACGGUACCUAAUCAGAAAGCCACGGCUAACUACGUG
rnacentral:rRNA from 1 species